rnacentral:tRNA from 3 species
AGAUAAUUGGGUGAGUUGGUUUAUACCGAUUGUUUUGAAAACAAUUAUAACAAACGUUAUCGUGAGUUCGAAUCUUACAUUAUCUG